AGCGGCGGACGGGUGAGUAACACGUGGGUAACCUGCCCAAGAGACUGGGAUAACACCUGGAAACAGAUGCUAAUACCGGAUAACAACACUAGACGCAUGUCUAGAGUUUGAAAGAUGGUUCUGCUAUCACUCUUGGAUGGACCUGCGGUGCAUUAGCUAGUUGGUAAGGUAACGGCUUACCAAGGCAAUGAUGCAUAGCCGAGUUGAGAGACUGAUCGGCCACAUUGGGACUGAGACACGGCCCAAACUCCUACGGGAGGCAGCAGUAGGGAAUCUUCCACAAUGGACGAAAGUCUGAUGGAGCAACGCCCCGUGAGUGAAGAAGGGUUUCGGCUCGUAAAGCUCUGUUGGUAGUGAAGAAAGAUAGAGGUAGUAACUGGCCUUUAUUUGACGGUAAUUACUUAGAAAGUCACGGCUAACUACGUGCCAGCAGCCGCGGUAAUACGUAGGUGGCAAGCGUUGUCCGGAUUUAUUGGGCGUAAAGCGAGUGCAGGCGGUUCAAUAAGUCUGAUGUGAAAGCCUUCGGCUCAACCGGAGAAUUGCAUCAGAAACUGUUGAACUUGAGUGCAGAAGAGGAGAGUGGAACUCCAUGUGUAGCGGUGGAAUGCGUAGAUAUAUGGAAGAACACCAGUGGCGAACGCGGCUCUCUGGUCUGCAACUGACGCUGAGGCUCGAAAGCAUGGGUAGCGAACAGGAUUAGAUACCCUGGUAGUCCAUGCCGUACACGAUGAGUGCUAAGUGU
rnacentral:rRNA from 1 species